GACGAACGCUGGCGGCGUGCUUAACACAUGCAAGUCGAACGGUGAAGCCCCAGCUUGCUGGAGUGGAUCAGUGGCGAACGGGUGAGUAACACGUGAGCAACCUGCCCCUGACUCUGGAAUAAGCGCUGGAAACGGCGUCUAAUACUGGAUACGAGAAGGGUCCGCAUGGGCACUUUCUGGAAAGUUUUUCGGUUGGGGAUGGGCUCGCGGCCUAUCAGCUUGUUGGUGAGGUAAUGGCUCACCAAGGCGACGACGGGUAGCCGGCCUGAGAGGGCGACCGGCCACACUGGGACUGAGACACGGCCCAGACUCCUACGGGAGGCAGCAGUGGGGAAUAUUGCACAAUGGGCGAAAGCCUGAUGCAGCAACGCCGCGUGAGGGAUGACGGCCUGCGGGUUGUAAACCUCUUUCAGCAGGGAAGAAGCGAAAGUGACGGUACCUGCAGAAGAAGCACCGGCUAACUACGUG
rnacentral:rRNA from 1 species